AGAGUUUGAUCCUGGCUCAGAUUGAACGCUGGCGGCAUGCCUUACACAUGCAAGUCGAACGGCAGCACGGGAGCAAUCCUGGUGGCGAGUGGCGAACGGGUGAGUAAUAUAUCGGAACGUGCCCAGUCGUGGGGGAUAACGCAGCGAAAGCUGUGCUAAUACCGCAUACGAUCUACGGAUGAAAGCGGGGGAUCGCAAGACCUCGCGCGAUUGGAGCGGCCGAUAUCAGAUUAGCUAGUUGGUGGGGUAAAAGCCCACCAAGGCGACGAUCUGUAGCUGGUCUGAGAGGACGACCAGCCACACUGGAACUGAGACACGGUCCAGACUCCUACGGGAGGCAGCAGUGGGGAAUUUUGGACAAUGGGCGCAAGCCUGAUCCAGCAAUGCCGCGUGCAGGAUGAGGCCUUCGGGUUGUAAACUGCUUUUGUACGGAGCGAAACGGUCUGUCCUAAUACGAUGGGCUAAUGACGGUACCGUAAGAAUAAGCACCGGCUAACUACGUGCCAGCAGCCGCGGUAAUACGUAGGGUGCGAGCGUUAAUCGGAAUUACUGGGCGUAAAGCGUGCGCAGGCGGUUAUAUAAGACAGAUGUGAAAUCCCCGGGCUCAACCUGGGACCUGCAUUUGUGACUGUAUGGCUAGAGUACGGUAGAGGGGGAUGGAAUUCCGCGUGUAGCAGUGAAAUGCGUAGAUAUGCGGAGGAACACCGAUGGCGAAGGCAAUCCCCUGGACCUGUACUGACGCUCAUGCACGAAAGCGUGGGGAGCAAACAGGAUUAGAUACCCUGGUAGUCCACGCCCUAAACGAUGUCAACUGGUUGUUGGGUCUUCACUGACUCAGUAACGAAGCUAACGCGUGAAGUUGACCGCCUGGGGAGUACGGCCGCAAGGUUG
rnacentral:rRNA from 1 species